GAAAGAGAAUCUAUAUAGCCAACCUCAAAUAUUUUGGAUAAAAGUUUAGUUUGUUGAGUUGAGUUGAGUUAUUAAAGUUACAAGUACACCAAAGCGAAAAACCCAGUGGAGAAGAGGAGCGGGGGAUGGGGGUCUUGGAGCCUGUGCUUGAUGUGCAAGGUUUGCUCACUCCCAAGGGGCGGAUCUAGAUGGAAAGGAGUGGGGAUAUAUAUAUAUAUAU
rnacentral:misc_RNA from 1 species